GUAGGCGUGGUGAUGGCGCCGCCCCGGCUGGCGGAGCCCGUCGGCCUCGUGGAGGCCUCGCGUCAGGCUUGGGGGGUUGGCUGCAUCUACUGCACCCUGAACGGGGAGCGGAGUCCCAGGUGGCGGGUGCCCCGGUGUUGGUCGUGGACGCCCAUCGAGCCCGCUGGCUUCACCGCUGACCUGAGGUCCCACGCGGCGGCCAGGCCUUCCCCUGCUGAUUGCAAGGGCAAGACGAAUGCCCUCAGCAGUGCGGGGAAGGAAGGGAUGCGACGCCCAACACUUUUAUUUAUUUAUGUAUGUGUGUGUUUAUUUCAUUUCGUUUCUUCAGAGGGAAACUCAAAUGCCCAGAAAAUCAGUAAAUAAACGCAUUAAGAGGUUUAUUUGGGUAAAUGGCCCCUAUUGGAUUUUUCCCCCAGAAAAAGAGAAGGAACAGGCAAGCAGGUGGGCUUUUCUGUUUGGACAGAAACUUCAAGGCAGGAAAUCUUGUGCCGUGUCACAUUGAGCACCUCCAGCUGUGAUGGUGCCAGUGGAGUCAUAAAUUUGAGAUGGCGGUAAAAGAAAAAAGACAAUCUGUCCGGGGCGGAGAGACAGGUGCUGCAAUGGACAAAAACCCGGACAAAUAUGUUUUCCAGCAGAAAGGAAAAGAGACAUUUCAAGCAGAGGAGACCACAUACGUGCAUAGAUGUCUGAAAGAUGAUGGUGUGCGUGAAGAACUGUAAGACACUCCAAAUGGAGAAUAAAAAGUGGAGAAAAGCAGCAGAUGUGGCUGAAGUG